GUGCUCUCUUUGGCAGCACACACACAGUACAGAGAUUAGCACGGCCCCUGCACACGGAUGACAUGCAAAGUCGUGAAGUGUUCCAUACUUAA
rnacentral:snRNA from 1 species